rnacentral:rRNA from 1 species
UACGUAGGUGGCAAGCGUUGUCCGGAUUUACUGGGCGUAAAGAGCUCGUAGGCGGUUUGGCAAGUCGGGUGUGAAAACUCCGGGCUCAACUCGGAGACGCCACUCGAUACUGCCAUGACUCGAGUCCGGUAGGGGAGUGCGGAAUUCCUGGUGUAGCGGUGAAAUGCGCAGAUAUCAGGAGGAACACCGGUGGCGAAGGCGGCACUCUGGGCCGGUACUGACGCUGAGGAGCGAAAGCGUGGGGAGCGAACAGG